rnacentral:rRNA from 1 species
CGUAGGGUGCGAGCGUUAAUCGGAAUUACUGGGCGUAAAGCGUGCGCAGGCGGUUUAGUAAGACAGGCGUGAAAUCCCCGGGCUCAACCUGGGAACUGCGCUUGUGACUGCUAAGCUAGAGUACGGCAGAGGGGGUGGAAUUCCACGUGUAGCAGUGAAAUGCGUAGAGGUGUGGAGGAACACCAAUGGCGAAGGCAGCCCCCUGGGUCGAUACUGACGCUCAUGCACGAAAGCGUGGGUAGCAAACAGGAUUAGAUACCCUGGUAGUCCACGCCCUAAACGAUGUCAACUAGGUGUUGGGAGGGUAAAACCUUUUAGUACCGGAGCUAACGCGUGAAGUUGACCGCCUGGGGAGUACGGCCGCAAGGUUA